rnacentral:pre_miRNA from 1 species
GUUUGUGUUCUUCCACAGCUUUCUUGAACUGCAUGGUUAUUAUUGGAGAGAUGCGAGGAAAAAUGAGAGGAGACCCAUCUUCUCCUUUUUCUUUGUCCUUGUCCUCUUCUUUUUGUGCGGUUCAAGAAAGCUGUGGGAAGAUACAGAUG